UGUACUACGCCAUACAGGAUGCGCAUAAAGUUCUCUUAAAAUGUUGUAAAUCGCAAUUAAAAGAGAAGUUUGAAGAAUAUACUGGAAACGGAUUAAACAUAAAAAAAUUAAUGUCGGCGACUGCCAUGAUAUUGUUCUUCUAUCUAAGCCCAGUUUAGACGUAAUCCUAGAAUUGAUGAUGAGCGUAAGUGGAUUUUACCACCAGACACGUUUCUAGGGGAGCAAGCAAUUACGCCGAUUGCUUAUGUGUGGUUACUAUAUCAUAUAAAAAAAUGAAAAUCAUCUGAGAAAAGAAGCAAAGCAGUACUGCAAGUGUUGAUUUUGGGCCAAAUUUAAAUUAAUAACGUCAAGACAGCAACGCUAAGUGGAGUUUGAACAAUAAAGAUAAAAGUGUUCAAAAUUUUGUGGAGAAGACUAAAAGUUAGGAACAUUCGCGUCGAUAACGAAACACCUUUACAUUGCGCUGCCCAACAUGGAUAAUGUAGUCGAUGGCAUGAUCCGCAAUUGUGCAAUAUAAGCUUAAGUACGAUCCAGUACUUUUUUAUAUUUUUCUACUGUGACUGACUAUUCAACUACUCGUUUCUCACUGGUGCAUAAAAAGCUAUGGAUAAAUUGUUGAGCUUUGCAUUAUCGAUAAUCUUCACAAAAAUUCAGCAGUUAGCAGAUGCAUUUUCUGCAACGAAAAAUUUUUCUCCUGCCGUUUCAUCGACAUACGUAACGUAAAGUUUGCCGGCAACUUCCAG